CCGACUUACCCUUUCCCUCUUUCUUGUUCUCACUUCUCACUCUCAGAGAGUUGAAGCAGCAACCACUAGCACCAAGUCACUAACGAACCAGUAAUCUCAGCGAGGCAGCGAAGAACAUAGGCUAGCAGCGGCAGGCGGCAGCCAUUGUUUCCUUUUCCGGCGAACUUAGGUAGCAGCGAGCCGUGGUCGUUCCUCUCAUCAGUCAUCUCUCAUCUAUCUCCGGCGAGGUGGUGGUCUCAUUUCAGAUUCCUAGAUAGUAGCGACCGCCGAUCGCGAUCUCAUCUCAAAUUCUCAAAUAGUAGCGACUGUCCAUUCAGCUUUGAUGAACUCUGUUUCUUUUGUUUAUUUUGACUAUCAUUCUAACUCUGUUUUUUCAAUAGCCUAAAGAACUAAGGCUAACACAAUAUAUUUUUUCCAUCUCAUGUGUUCUUUCAAAUAUAGAAAAUCAAAGAACUUAUCUCCAAUGCUAGCAAUUUUUGGGUAGUUGAAUUUUAGUGUCUUCAAUGUUGCAUCCAAUCCACUGCUAACAAUUUCCCAAAUUAUUCACAAAUAGUCUAGCUGGUAAAAUAUAUAGGAAUUUAGUUUUAUUAUAUAUUUAUUCAUAUGCUUGGAUAUAUUAAUAUUUACAUAUGCAAAUAAACUUUUUUUCUUACUGAAUUUUUGUUGUAUGUCAUUGCCAUCAAUGUUCCCGGUCAGCAUCUAAAAUUUAAUUUCAAAAGUUCGAUGACCUUAUUAAUGGUUUUGCUUGGAGCUUAUAGAGGUGCAAAGUGUUUCUUUGGUGUGUGGUGGUGAUUUUUUUAAAGUUUGUUGUUGUAGUCAUAUUUUGAAUCAUAUUGUGCAAGUUGUUUGAAACUUGUUGAUGAUGUUGUUGUUAAGAUUCAUUGUGGUGUGAAAAAUAUAAAGAAAUUGGCUACUUGAAAGCAUUGGUUUUAUGAACUUGUUGAAAAAAGUUUUCAUUUGAACUCAACGAGAAGGUUGAGGUUAGACAUGUGUGCGAGAUGGAACUCAACUUAUUUGAUGCUUGAACAUGCCAUCUAUUAUAAUCAAGUCUUACAACAUUGGGGGUAAAGGGAUAAUGCUUUCAAAAUGUUUAUGCUUUCGGAAGAAGAAUGGGGAAAGGUGGAUAAGCUUCACAAAUUCUUAAAGGUUUUUUAUGAUGUUACUUGCAUGCUUUCUACUACCAAGUACCAUACUUUAAACAUUUACUUCAAGGGAGUGUGGAUGAUUCAUAAGCAUUUAAUUGCAAUGAGUAAUGAAUCUCAUAAUUUUAUGAUUGAUAUGGUUAGAGAUAUGAAAGAGAAAUUUGAUAAAUAUUGGGCUGAAUAUAGUAUGAUUUUGUCUUGUGCUUCUGUGUUGAAUCCUCGUUGCAAGGUAAGGUUAGUGGAGUAUUGUUUUAAUAAACUUUAUGGUGAUGAUGCUGGGGAGUGUGUUCAUGCUAUAAUUAAAACACUUCAUGAUUUAUUUGGUGAAUGUAAAGAAUAUUUUUCCUCAAUCUCCUUUGUUGGAUCUUCUAGUCAAAAGUUGACAUGAGUGAGAGAAAUGAUGAUGGUGAUGGAUUUGAGAAUUAUGAACAAUUUUUGAGUUCAAAAAGAAAAUCUCAAAAUGAAAAAACUCAGUUGGACUUUUACUUGGAGGAACAAAACCUUGAUAUCAAGGUAGACGUUGAUGUUUUGGAGUAUUGGAGUAAGAGUUCACUUAGGUAUCCUGAAUCGGCAUCAAUGGCUUAAGAUAUUUUAGCUAUUCCCAUUUCCACAGUUGCAUCUGAGUCAACAUUUAGUAUUGGAAAGAAGGUAAUCAAUCCUUGGAUAAGUUCAUUUAAACCUAAGACAAUUCAAGCUUUAGUUUGUUUUGAAGAUCGGCUUCGUGCACAAGGCUUUGUAUAAGGAGGAGCUCCACCAUACGAUAUCCAAUUAAUGAUGCUAGCGUCACUGGAUGAAACCCAAUAAAGGUUUCAAGGUUACACUGAGCUGCAAGCAGAGAACUCGAGAUUACUGGCGACAUCUCUUCUCCUCAUCCAGUAUCCAAUGUCAAAUGUCAAGCAACUCUCGAUCCAAGCAUUACAUCCUCGACCUGCACUUGAUCCUGUGAAGGUCAUUGAUUACAGUUCCUCUACUGCCUCCAUCAUUGGUAGUGUACAGUGUUGCUGCCUCUUCCAUGGCUACUCUGAAACAGCCAACAAAUAGAGUUGUAGCCAUCAUAGCUGAAUAUGUUCCAGAAUCUGAUAUAAAGCAGCUGAUUGCUUAUGCACGGGCAAAUAAUAAGAUAUCUGUGGAAAUAAUGAUAGAUCUUAGCGAAAGCGCAGAUAUCUGUGUCAAUUGUCUACACCUUCUUCAAUGGAUCUAGGAAAAAUUAUUGAUUCAUCUCAAGUAAGAAGAAUGAUUUGUGCAAUCUUCUGGGUUGAUAUUUUGUACACAUGCUAGUUUUGUCUAUCUUAAUUCUGGGGAAAAAUUACCCAAUUUUGCUUUUGACAGAAGGGUGGUGAACAUUCAUAUUUGGAGUUACUGGCUUAAAACCUCUAUGGAUAUGCCUGGGGAGAAGAUUUUAAUAUGUUCAUGUCUGAAUUUAGAUUGUUUUGUACGUCUGUCUCGGUGUUAAUAUAGGAAUGGAUCUCAUAUUUUUAAGACAGCCUAUCUUAUAAAAAAUGACUGGAAUCUCCUUGGUUGUUUGUCACACUACUAUUUUCAUGCCUGCAUAUCUGAGUUUGAACUUUGAAAUAUUAUCAGAUUUAAGUCUGUUCUCACAAUGUCAAUCAGGUCUUUUAUUGUAUUCUGUCUAUGAAGCUCUGAAUUAUGUUUACAUGGUCCAUGUUUCUUUGCACAGAUCUUAGAACAGUUAAAGGUAUUUGCUGAAGAUGAUAUUAGAUGCAACCUACCCUCGGAGGCAUUAAUGAUGUAACGUUAAGUUCAUUGAAUCUAAGCUGGAUAUCAUCAUUCUAUGACUAUUCUUUCCUUUUUUUUUCAAUGAUUUUGUCAACACUAUGUAUGAGACUACAAAGUCUAAGUAUCUUGUAAGAUCAAGGAAUUACUCUAUCUGCCUACCUCUUAGGAUGUUUUCUAUUGAAACGUGUUAUUAGAAGAGAAGCAUAUCCAUGAAGGUGAUGAUUGUGCCUUUAAUUCAGUGAACUCUCCAAUAAUUGUGGCCAAAUAAAGGGAUUUGUUAAGGUUCUAAUCUUCUCUGAAAACCCAAGGAUGUUAAUGUUUGGGAAACACAAGGCUUUCCCAGCCUAUAUAUUGAGAUUCUAAUGUAAGAAUUAAUAAAGAUAUAUAUGAAAAUAAGUCAGUUAGUCAAACACACUGAAUGCAAAACAACGGGCAAGCAAGAGGCAAUCUAAUUUUUACAUGGAAUACAUUUCAACACAAAAAGCACCCAAGGAUAUUGGCCAAACUAUCUACUAUGUGAAAAUAUGUCAUAAUUGUCUGUAAUCUCAACUAGAGGCUACAAUAUUGAUUUGUAUUAUGAGACAAAAUUUACUUUGUUACACUUUUGAACUCUCGCUUGUAUAAAAUAUUAGUAGUUGUUCUUUUGAAUAGUUUAUGAUUAAAUGAUUCUCCCUUCAUGGAAAGUUUGUAUCAUGAUAUGUUUUCUCAAGUGCCAAUCAAGAAGCUCUACAUGCUAAUCGAAAUGGCUGCCCAGGGAGCAAAAGAUGGAAUUGUAGAGGCUAUUUACUCUGGUAAAGAGAAGAUCGACAUCGCUCAUUUCUUUGAUUGCCAUGGAGAUGUCAUUCCUGUAUAAUUUGUACAUGUGCCACACUGUACAGCUCCUAAAGAGAUAUGGACAAAGAGAUGAGCAAUCAUGAUGUGCUUGCCUUUGCAAGGGACCAGAUGCAAUCAUCUAUACUGGAAGUUAUGGUCAAGGACAAGGAUCUUGUGUCAAAGAUGAUUUUGUUGGAAUUGCCAGCUUCGACCUCAAUGAAGUACCUACUAGAGUUUCCCCAGAUAGUCCUAUUGUCAGGUUUUACCUCAAUGAUUUUGUUGGAAUUGCCAGCUUUGACCUCAAUGAAGUACCUACUAGAGUUUCCCCAGAUAGUCCUAUUGUCAGGUUUUACCUCAAUGAUGUUGUUGUUGUUGUUGUUGUUGUUGUUGUUGUUGUUAUUAUUAUUAUUAUUAUACUUGUUAUGGGUUCUGAAAUUUUUCUUUAAUUCAUGAACUCUAAUUAGAGAUGAGGUUAGAUUAUCCCUAAACAAAGCUGAAAAGGAGGUCUUGGGUCAAUGCUGCCAAGUCUCACCAAGGAUGCCACUACAAUUGUUGGUGAUGGAAGUAUACAGAAAGAAGUAAAUAAGUGAGUUGUUCAUAUCCAUAACCUCAUUGAGGUGAGUUUCUAGAAUUUUAGUCUUCUUUUUUGGAAUUUGCUGCUUGUAGUUGUCCAACAUCUUUUACAUUGUAAUGGUCAAUACAAAUUGCAGAAAAAGAUUAUGAGAAAGAGAAACUCCAUGAAAAAAUUGCAAAACUCUCUGGUGGUGUUGCUGUCAUUUAAGUAGAUUUCUCAAACAUGAAUGGGGCUUUCUGUUGGUCAUGUGGAAAUUUAAAUAUUUGUGUUUAUUAAUGUUUGUGAUGAACAUGGAUAGGUUGGGACCAUGCUAUUUAAGUGUUAAUGUUUGUAGAGUCAGCAUAACCAAAUUGAGUUCAUUAUCUAAUCCAUCUAUCCUUGGACUUCUUGUUUUCUAUAUAGUUUGAAUUCCAAGUGCAGUUGAUUUCUCUCUUCUGGCCUCUGUUACUUAACAUUAUGUCGUUUCUGUUGUGUUUAAUCAGGUUAUGGUUAUUGUGCUGGGGCAUGAUGAAUUACAGAAGGCUGAAUAUAAUCCACAACUGCAAUGGGUGAGAGAGAGAGUACGUAGGAGAAAUUCCAGCAGUGUAGAUUGCUGGAGUUCAGCAUGUAUUGACUGCAGCAAGCUGCAAUGACAUUAUUAUUUUUGAGUAUUAUGAGAGAAAUUAUGUUCAUUGUCUUCCCUUUGCAUUUAAUAUUUUAUUUGCAUCCUUUAUAUGGCUUCUGUGAUUAGUUCCUCAAGUUCCAAUUUUUGCAAUGCAGGGUGUCUGUUUUAUUGAUCCCACGUUUUCGCAUUGACUGGCUUCCUUUUUUCUCCUUAUCUUUGCUUUUUCUCAUAAUUUUCUUCUCUGUUUCAGCUCAAUUCACCUCUUUUCCGUUGCCGAUGACUAUAGUGGGCUGGCCAGGCGGGCUUACUUCUUUGGGUGCGAAUCCGAUUACCUCGUUAUAUUUCCCUGGAUGUUUUGGUUAUUUAUCAUUGUAACCGUAACAAUAAAUAUUUCAUAGCUAAGAAAUUACCCCCAUCUUAUUCAUCAAAAAAAAAAAAAUACCCCCAUCUUCAUAAGCAGAUACAUGCCACCACUUCAAGCUAUUGUGUCCAUGGAUGGGAGUUCUGGAUCUUCUACGCCUGGCCAGGUACCACAUUUGUUUCUUUCUCAAAACCGGCCAAAGAGGUGCGCAACUCAUUACCACAUUGCUUGGAGCAUCUACUGUCAUCAGUAGUUUACAAGGAUGAAUCCUUUCUAGCAUGUAGUUGCUGGUUCUGCAUCUUUUUAUGGGGCCAAGCCAUACAAUCUCAAUGUUGUGCCCCCGACAGAAACUACUAUUCUUGGAAACCCAUUGCAGGGAAACUUACCAAGUAGGAAUUUGAACUCGGUUUCAGACAAGGGCCAAGUUGCUAGCACAUUUUCUGGUCAUACUACAAAGGAUAAGAACUCUGCAGCGGCUGCACCCAACUUUGUGGAUGCCCAGAGAAAGCAGCAUGUGCUCCAGCAAGCUCCGCAGUCUGCUUCUUCUGGAAAUCUGCUGCUUGUUUAUUCUAAGCUCAGUUGUCAUCCCAAUGCUACAAUGGAUUUCGCCUGAUGAAUGCCAAAACUUUGGUUCAAAUGAUCUUUGCCCCCUUGGUGGGAUUGUAGAACUAUAUUCCUUUUUACGUAGUGGACUUAUCCAACUAUUCUAUGUAAGUAUGCAUUAUUUUUCAAAAAGCUACUUGAGUCAUUUUAUGAUUUAUCUCGUAUUUCUUUUCAUUAUACAUGGUAUGUGCACAUGGCAAUGUGUGUUUGUAGGGCCUAUUGGUUACAAUCAGAACUUGUUUCAGAAUUGCAUUUCAACUAAUCAGUCUACAGUUU